GGGAGCCGCUCCUGGGCCCGGCUCUGGGCUGCAGCCGGGAUGGCUCUGCCCCCGGGGGCCCCUCCAGGCUGCCUCCUCGGCUGCGGGCAGGACGCCCAGCUUCUGAGUCCUUGGGACAGAGGGGGAAUUCUGGGUGGGCGGCACUGGGAACCAAGUCCUUCUGGUCGUGGCCUGGAAACUGCCCAGGUGACCGGGAAGAGGAAGGCUGUUCUCCCGCAGGCGGACCUGAGCUUUUCUCAACUAGGAUCGGCUCCUUGGCUUCUGCCUCUUAAAAAAAAGCCCAAGGUGAGGCACCUCCACUCCAAGCAGUUGCGGGAAGAACACAGGGCACCCUCUCCACCGAGCUCCGGGUCAAGGUGACAUCUUCCUGACAUUCUCCCCAGGGGAACUGCUGAGCGGGUGAGAUCUCUGAGACAAGGAUGGGGGCAUCCAAGCCAGACACCGAGGUUUGGCCUGCGGGUGCAAUGACGAGUUCUGCCGGCAGACGGUGCUAGAGGAACGCGAAAGACAAAAGAGGCCAGAAAGCGCCUUUGCUUUCCCGGUUUCCCUCCCUCCUAUCGAGCGCAGCAGCCAGCGAUGGUGCUGGGGUGGCCCCGCGUCUGCUCAGCAGCCCUGACGGGCCAGUUCAGCAGGUACUCAGGCCCCACUCUGUCCACCAGGCGACCCCUCUGCAGUAGACCAGCCCUGGGCUCCCGCACCUUCUGGCCAGUUGAGGGCCACUUCUGUGCGCCAGCCCGGGCCACGCCCUCCACGCUGUCUAGCCGGGGGCCAGGUAGGUUUUUCCGGCACCCUAGGACCUGGAAUCGUCCCCCUGUCCCAAGACUUCACCUGACUUUAUGUGUCACCCCAGAUCUCAGCACCGAGGCCCCCACCUUUGGGAGGAUAGGUGGAGGUGAGGGCGGCCCCUGAGAUGCUGAAACUGCGGGUCAUGAUUAGUCAAAUCCAUUCCACCUGCCCGCACUAAUCAAGGGCCUUUUAAGACUCGCACGUCCUCCAAGCACGAAGCCAGAACCAUAAAAUACCCGCCCGGGUUGUUCUCUAGGAAGCCGGACUCAGCGGCGUCUAGCUGGAGCUGAGCUGUUAGGACUGGAUGGACCGCUGACCCUCCCACUGGGCGUGGCCGCGAGUCCGCUCCCUGGAAGCUCCGCCCCCAGCUCGCGCGGUGAGCGCAGAGGCGGGGCUCGGGUCCACCGCGCCGACCGCGGUCCCGGCGCCUUGUCCGUCCCUUUCCCCGGGCUCCCCGCGCCCCACACCGCCUGCUGCUUGGUCUUCAUGCCCUGAGCACGCAGCCCGGUGCCCGCGGGGAGGCAGAUUCCAGAGCGCUCUCUGGGCUCCUUGCCUGGUUGCCUUGUGGAUGAACCCGCGCUUUGCCGCGAACCUGGCAUCUCAGUAGCUUGGCCUGCUGUUUGUAGGGGGCGGGGGGAAGGUUCCCUAACAAGAGCAAAACCAUUACAUGUAGCACUCGGAACCCCCUCACCGCCGAAUCCCCCACAGAUUGCUGACCACCAUAGGUCUGUCUUUGACUCCCUGCAGUGGUGAAUCUUCUAGAAAACUUUGGUCUAGCCCAGGCCUCCAUUUCCCAGAUCCCUGAAGGGACCCCAAAGCAGCCCCUCUUCCCGGUCACUCACUGCUGACCCGCAAACCUGGGAGGGGGACGGUGCUGAGAGGCCCCACUACAUCCUUUAGGGUCGCGCCUACAUCUGCGGAGACCGCUGCACAAGUCCAUAACCAGGAGGGCAACGCUGGACACUGACGUGGGAGGGACACGGGGCCAGAGACUCGAGGAGCCCAUGUCCGGACAACCCACACCUGACCCGGCCCAGAGGGACACGAUGCCUGUGGGCGCGAUGCAGGCUAAUAGCUCGGCCCCUGAGCCGACACGCCCCAAACGUGCCUCCUGGUAAGGGACCAUCAUCGUCACGCGAGCAUCAUCACUGAUAAACACCGCCCAAUGCCUCAGAACACCAGGCUGAGAUCUUUCCACACUAGAGGGCGCCAGAGACCGCGGGGUCGCACCCGGGCUCCCGGGGUUGCCGCACAGAGUCUGUCCGCCAGGGGGCGCGAGCGCUGGCCAUGGGCUGGCUCUUCCGGUUAGCUGUGAUGGGCAGAGAAGGGUCUGGUCCCAAGGCGACUGUGUGAUGGGCUCUGAAGGCUAGGGGUGCUUCUCAUCCCAGAGGGCUCAGAAAGUUAGGAGUCAAGAAACAAAGGCUUUGGUGCAUGAACUGAUGAAUGAUCAGCAAACAAUGUUAAAAAAAUAAGGUAGAUUAGAUUUGAAGAUUAUGCAGUAUUAGGGACAUACUUACACCAAAAAAUUAUUCACUGGGCAUUCUGUGUUUUAUCUGCCAUCCUACUCAUGAGAGGUGAACAAAAGAGAACUGCGAGGACACUUUUCUUUGCUCCUUGUUGUGUAUGCAUUUGUAUUUAUCAACCAAGUUCUUUUCUUCUCAGUAUUGCUUUAUGUAGUUGUCAGAGAUUAGCAGAAUGUUCAGUGGAACUGUGAGUGGAUCUGAGGAUGAAUUAACACAAUUGGCUGUGAUUAUAAUGAUUGCCGGGAGAAAUAUUAAUAAUCUCAGAUAUGCAGAUGUCACCACCCUUAUGGCAGAAAGUGAAGAGGAACUAAAAAGCCUCUUGAUGAAAGUGAAAGAGGAGAGUGAAAAAGUUGGCUUAAAGCUCAACAUUCAGAAAACUAAGAUCAUGGCAUCUGGUCCCAUCACUUCAUGGCAAAUAGAUGGGAAAACAGUGGAAACAGUGUCAGACUUUAUUUUUGGGGGCUCCAAAAUCACUGCAGAUGGUGACUGCAGCCAUGAAAUUAAAAGAUGCUUACUGCUUGGAAGGAAAGUUAUGACCAACCUAGAUAGCACAUUAAAAAGCAGAGACGUUACUUUGUCAACAAAGGUCCAUCUAGUCAAGGCUAUGGUUUUUCCAGUAGUCAUGUAUGGAUGUGAGAGUUGGACGGUGAAGAAAGCUGAGCGCCGAAAAAUUGAUGCUUUUGAACUGUGGUGUUGGAAAAGACUCUUGAGAGUCCCUUGGACUGCAAGGAGAUCCAAUCAGUCCAUCCUAAAGCAGAUCAGUCCUGGGUGUUCAUUGGAAGGACUGAUGCUGCAGCUGAAACUCCAAUACUUUGGCCACCUCAUGUGAAGAGUUGACUCAUUGGAAAAGAGCCUGAUGCUGUGAGGGAUUGGGGGCAGGAGGAGAAGGGGACGAUAGAGGAUGAGAUGGCUGGAUGGCAUCACUGACUCGAUGGACAUGUGUUUGAGUAGACUCCGGGAGUUGGUGAUGGACAGGGAGUCCUGGCGUGCUGCGGUUCGUGGGGUCUCAAAUAGUUGGACACGACUGAGCAACUGAACUGAAUUGAACUGAUAAUGACUCUUGGGAGCAUGUGUUUCUCAUUUUAGGAGAAGGGUGCUAUCUCGGGGUCAAGGAUGGGGCACCCAAACGGACAACGAGGUUUCUGUGCAGCGAGUGCCAUGCCGGGCUCUGCCAGCAGAUGGUGAUGGAGGAACGGACAAGGCCACCGCGGCCAGAAAGCGCUUUUCCCGCUUUCCUUCCUUUUAUUGAGCACAGGGGCCAGUGACGGUGUGAGGAUGGCCCCGGGUCCGCUCAGCAGCCCUGGCCGACGGUCUAGUACACCUCUAGUGUACUAGACGACGGUCUAGUACCCCACCUUUGGUAGGGUAGGUGGGCGUGAGGGCGGCCCCUGAGAUGCUGAAACUGCGGGUCAUGAUUAGUCAAAUCCAUUCCACCUGCCCGCAUUAAUCAAGGGCCUUGAUUAGAUUUAAUCGAGUCUUUAAAAGACUCACACGUCCUCCAAGCACGAAGCCAGAACCAUAAAAUACGCCCGGGUUGUUCUCUAGGAAGCCGGACUCAGCGGCGUCUAGCUGGAGCUGAGCUGUUAGGACUGGAUGGACCGCUGACCCUCCCACUGGGCGUGGCCGCGAGUCCGCUCCCUGGAAGCUCCGCCCCCAGCUCGCGCGGUGAGCGCAGAGGCGGGGCUCGGGUCCACCGCGCCGACCGCGGUCCCGGCGCCUUGUCCGUCCCUUUCCCCGGGCUCCCCGCGCCCCACACCGCCUGCUGCUUGGUCUUCAUGCCCUGAGCACGCAGCCCGGUGCCCGCGGGGAGGCAGAUUCCAGAGCGCUCUCUGGGCUCCUUGCCUGGUUGCCUUGUGGAUGAACCCGCGCUUUGCCGCGAACCUGGCAUCUCAGUAUCUUGGUCUGCUGUUUGUAGGGGGCGGGGGGAAGGUUCCCCAACAAGAGUAAAACCAUUA